UACGUAGGGGGCAAGCGUUGUCCGGAAUCAUUGGGCGUAAAGCGCGUGUAGGCGGCUUCGUAAGUCCGUUGUGAAAGUCCAGGGCUCAACCCUGGAAUGCCGAUGGAUACUGCGGAGCUAGAGUCCGGAAGAGGCGAGUGGAAUUCCUGGUGUAGCGGUGAAAUGCGCAGAUAUCAGGAGGAACACCAAUGGCGAAGGCAGCUCGCUGGGACGGUACUGACGCUGAGACGCGAAAGCGUGGGGAGCAAACGGG
rnacentral:rRNA from 1 species